ACUCCUACGGGAGGCAGCAGUGGGGAAUAUUGCACAAUGGGCGCAAGCCUGAUGCAGCCAUGCCGCGUGUAUGAAGAAGGCCUUCGGGUUGUAAAGUACUUUCAGCGGGGAGGAAGGCGAUAAGGUUAAUAACCUUGUCGAUUGACGUUACCCGCAGAAGAAGCACCGGCUAACUCCGUGCCAGCAGCCGCGGUAAUACGGAGGGUGCAAGCGUUAAUCGGAAUUACUGGGCGUAAAGCGCACGCAGGCGGUCUGUCAAGUCGGAUGUGAAAUCCCCAGGCUCAACCUGGGAACUGCAUUCGAAACUGGCAGGCUAGAGUCUUGUAGAGGGGGGUAGAAUUCCAGGUGUAGCGGUGAAAUGCGUAGAGAUCUGGAGGAAUACCGGUGGCGAAGGCGGCCCCCUGGACAAAGACUGACGCUCAGGUGCGAAAGCGUGGGGAGCAAACAGGAUUAGAAACCCCAGUAGUCCCA
rnacentral:rRNA from 1 species